AUUGAACGCUGGCGGAAUGCUUUACACAUGCAAGUCGAGCGGCAGCGCGGGGGCAACCCUGGCGGCGAGCGGCGAACGGGUGAGUAACACAUCGGAACGUACCCUAUCGUGGGGGAUAGCUCGGCGAAAGCCGGAUUAAUACCGCAUAAGACCUGAGGGUGAAAGCGGGGGAUCGCAAGACCUCGCGCGAUUGGAGCGGCCGAUAUCGGAUUAGCUAGUUGGUGAGGUAAAGGCUCACCAAGGCGACGAUCCGUAGCUGGUCUGAGAGGACGACCAGCCACACUGGAACUGAGACACGGUCCAGACUCCUACGGGAGGCAGCAGUGGGGAAUUUUGGACAAUGGGGGAAACCCUGAUCCAGCCAUUCCGCGUGAGUGAAGAAGGCCUUCGGGUUGUAAAGCUCUUUCGGCAGGAACGAAACGGUGGAGGCUAAUACCUUCCAUCAAUGACGGUACCUGAAGAAGAAGCACCGGCUAACUACGUGCCAGCAGCCGCGGUAAUACGUAGGGUGCGAGCGUUAAUCGGAAUUACUGGGCGUAAAGCGUGCGCAGGCGGCUUUGUAAGACAGGUGUGAAAUCCCCGGGCUUAACCUGGGAACUGCGCUUGUGACUGCAAGGCUUGAGUGCGGCAGAGGGGGGUGGAAUUCCACGUGUAGCAGUGAAAUGCGUAGAGAUGUGGAGGAACACCGAUGGCGAAGGCAGCCCCCUGGGUCGACACUGACGCUCAUGCACGAAAGCGUGGGUAGCAAACAGGAUUAGAUACCCUGGUAGUCCACGCCCUAAACGAUGCCAACUAGGUGUUGGGGAAGGAGACUUCCUUAGUACCGUAGCUAACGCGUGAAGUUGGCCGCCUGGGGAGUACGGUCGCAAGAUUA
rnacentral:rRNA from 1 species